rnacentral:rRNA from 1 species
UACAGGGGGUGCAAACGUUGCUCGGAAUUAUUGGGCGUAAAGCGCGCGUAGGCGGCUACUUAAGUCGGAUGUGAAAGCCCUUGGCUCAACUGAGGAAGUGCACCCGAAACUGAGUGGCUUGAGUACUAAAGAGGGUCGCGGAAUUCCCGGUGUAGAGGUGAAAUUCGUAGAUAUUAGGAAGAACACCGGUGGCGAAGGCGGCCCACUGGUCCGGUACUGACGCUGAGGUGCGAAAGCGUGGGGAGCAAACAGG